CUGUGGAAGUCAUCCUGUGAGGAACUGUGGCCUCCCCCAAGCAGCGCAUAUUGGAGGCAGAGGCUUCAGCCCCAGUCAAACCCUCAGAUGAUGGCAGCCCCAGCCAACGUCAUGACGCAGCCUCUGGAGAGACCCUGAGCCAGGGCCACCCACCCGAACUUACCCUGGAUCCUGACCCACAGAAACUGCAAGUCGAUAAAGGCACUGGGCUAAAUGCAUCAAAAGGAUCUCACCAUCUUCCCAGCAGCCCACAGGGAGCAGAGGUUUUCAUUACCAUCAUUCUCAGAGGACACGACUGGGGCUCAGAGAGGGGAAGAAACCUCUCCAGCUUGCACAGCUGAGUCAUUCCCCAAAUGGAUGAGACCCCAGCACAGGAGAAAUGCAUGACAGCCAGAUAAUAAACCUGCAUAUCAGAACUGUCAGAUCGUCUUCAGAGCAAAAGGCAACAUGCUCUCCCGAGGCUUGGGGCACAGGAACGCAUCUAUCUUUCCCGACCGUUGUAUCCCCGGUCUGCAGCCCCGGGCCAGGGAUGCUCCCGCAGCUGUUGCAGGGCUCAGACUGCCCACUAGUGGGAGCUCCAGGCCUCUCAUUUCCCACGUCUCUGCCUGGCCCAGAUACUUCGGUGGGUCAAAUUCUUGAACUGAUGUUGGACCACAGUCCUCGUAGGAACUUAAAAGGUUGCACUGUAUCCAGCAUAUCCAGGGAAUUGUAUGUGAGUGGGUGUGAGCCCACAUGUGCGGGGCAGACAAGGGGUGGACUGCAGGGGCUACUAACGGGCCUGUUCACUCCAGCACCCAUCUUCCAGGGCGUGACUUCCCUUUGCUGACACACUUUGUGCCCCUGAGUCAGCCACAUAAACACUGUGAUCGGGCCGUGUGGUCCCAGCUGAUUAAUUGAUUCUGCAGUGAGCACUUGAUCCAAGCUCUGCCAGUUAGAGUCUUUCCAAGGGUGUUGGAACCGGAGCUGAGAAAAAAGAAUUCAACAUUGCUUUGAGUGGCUAUGGAGGUGGAUGCAGUGUGCUCACACUGUCUGUGGCCACAUCUUGCACUGUGGAUCUCAGAAGCAGAGGAAGCAGAUCUACUUAGAGAGGAGAGGGGCACCCACACAGAGGCAAGAUGCAGGAUGGAGAGAGACGCAGAGAUGUCCCUUGGCCUCUAGAAGCCCUGGUCCCAUUUGUCCCUGAGGUCCAACCCUGGUCUUCU
rnacentral:lncRNA from 10 species